rnacentral:rRNA from 1 species
CCUACGGGAGGCAGCAGUGGGGAAUAUUGCACAAUGGGGGAAACCCUGAUGCAGCGACGCCGCGUGAGUGAAGAAGUAUCUCGGUACGUAAAGCUCUAUCAGCAGGGAAGAUAAUGACGGUACCUGACCAAGAAGCCCCGGCUAACUACGUGCCAGCAGCCGCGGUAAUACGUAGGGGGCAAGCGUUAUCCGGAUUUACUGGGUGAAAAGGGAGCGUAGACGGCAGCACAAGUCUGGUGUGAAAUCCCGGGGCUUAACCCCGGAUCGGCUUUGGAAGCUGUGCGGCUGGAGGGCAGGAGGGGUAAGCGGAAUGCCUAGUGUAGAGGUGAAAUGCGUAGAUAGUAGGAGGAAGACCGGUGGCGAAGGCGGCUUACUGGACUGUAACUGACGUUGAGGGUCGAAAGCGUGGGGAGGAAACAGGAUUAGAUACCCC